rnacentral:snoRNA from 1 species
AUCUUUUUUGUAGUUCAUAAAUGCGAUGAUUGGGUUUUCAUGCUGAUGCGUGAGAUGUGCCUCCCUCAAACCUUGUUAUGAUGUCAGUACGUUACCCAUCUGAUG